rnacentral:pre_miRNA from 1 species
GUUGUGUGUUUGUUGUGAAUGCGUGAGGAUUCUCAAGUAGAGGUUUUACUAUAAUCUCUACCUAGCAAUCCUCACGUAUUCACAACAAACGGUUAUGAGA